AUUGAACGCUGGCGGCACGCCUUACACAUGCAAGUCGAACGGUAACGGGCCUUCGGGUGCCGACGAGUGCCGAACGGGUGAGUAAUACAUCGGAACGUGCCCGAUCGUGGGGGAUAACGAGGCGAAAGCUUUGCUAAUACCGCAUACGAUCUACGGAUGAAAGCAGGGGACCGCAAGGCCUUGCGCGGACGGAGCGGCCGAUGGCAGAUUAGGUAGUUGGUGGGAUAAAAGCUUACCAAGCCGACGAUCUGUAGCUGGUCUGAGAGGAUGAUCAGCCACGCUGGGACUGAGACACGGCCCAGACUCCUACGGGAGGCAGCAGUGGGGAAUUUUGGACAAUGGGCGCAAGCCUGAUCCAGCCAUGCCGCGUGCAGGAUGAAGGCCUUCGGGUUGUAAACUGCUUUUGUACGGAACGAAAAGCCUUCUUCUAAUACAGGAGGGUCAUGACGGUACCGUAAGAAUAAGCACCGGCUAACUACGUGCCAGCCGCCGCCGUAA
rnacentral:rRNA from 1 species